rnacentral:rRNA from 1 species
AGUGAACGCUGGCGGUAGGCCUAACACAUGCAAGUCGAACGGCAGCACAGUAAGAGCUUGCUCUUACGGGUGGCGAGUGGCGGACGGGUGAGGAAUACAUCGGAAUCUACUUUUUCGUGGGGGAUAACGUAGGGAAACUUACGCUAAUACCGCAUACGACCUACGGGUGAAAACAGGGGAUCUUCGGACCUUGCGCGAUUGAAUUAGCCGAUGUCGGAUUAGCUAGUUGGCGGGGUAAAGGCCCACCAAGGCGACGAUCCGUAGCUGGUCUGAGAGGAUGAUCAGCCACACUGGAACUGAGACACGGUCCAGACUCCUACGGGAGGCAGCAGUGGGGAAUAUUGGACAAUGGGCGCAAGCCUGAUCCAGCCAUACCGCGUGGGUGAAGAAGGCCUUCGGGUUGUAAAGCCCUUUUGUUGGGAAAGAAAAGCAGCAGGUUAAUACCCCGCUGUUCUGACGGUACCCAAAGAAUAAGCACCGGCUAACUUCGUG